GCUUUUAGCGUGGGCGCGGGGCCAGCAGAGGCGGCGGGCGAAUGCAGGCAGGCAGCAGGCUGCACGGAGCUGUGGCGCUUCUCCGCUUGGCGGAAAGGUGCGCCGGUGCGGGGUUCGCGGGGUCUGGCGGAUUGGAGGAUUCACAGAGUAACCAAUU